UAGGGCCAUAUCACGUUGAAACACGGGUUCCCGUACGAUCACCAAAGUUAAGCAACGUCGAACCUGGUCAGUACCUAAAUGGGUGACCGCUUCGUAAUACCAAGUGCCGUU